CUCAAAUCCCACUGGGAACAGUUGGGCAUUCCAGUUAAAAGGUGCAGCAGUACAGAGCGGUGUCCAGGGCAUUUGGUGCCAUCUCUCUGACACACACAUGUAGACAAGAAAGCGUCAGGGGCACGGGGUGGUGGUGAUGGGCAGACACGGACUGUGGGAAAGUCCCUGUGGUGGAGGCUGAUCCUGUCUUGAUUUAGAUUGUGCUGAUUGGAAUUAUUACUGUCUCUCUCUGUAUUUCCCUCUUGAUUUCACAUUGUUUGUUACACCAAGGUUCGGAAAGCUCACAAUGUGUUCUGUGCUUCCAGUGAUUGUGAUUGAACUGUAACAUUGCAGUUUCAUCAACUUAAUAAACGAGCAUCAAAACAA